rnacentral:rRNA from 1 species
CAGUCGCCGCGGUAAUACAGAGGGUGCGAGCGUUAAUCGGAUUUACUGGGCGUAAAGCGUGCGCAGGCGGUUCGUUAAGACAGAUGUGAAAUCCCCGGGCUUAACCUGGGAACUGCAUUUGUGACUGACGGGCUAGAGUAUGGCAGAGGGGGGUAGAAUUCCACGUGUAGCAGUGAAAUGCGUAGAGAUGUGGAGGAAUACCGAUGGCGAAGGCAGCCCCCUGGGCCAAUACUGACGCUCAUGCACGAAAGCGUGGGGAGCAAACAGGAUUAGAUACCCGAGUAGUCCCUGUCUCUUAUAU